AAAAAAAAAAAAAAAAAAAGGUGAAGGAAUCUUGUGAAGUGAAUGGAUUCCUCAGCUCGUGGGUUUUAAUAUUUCCUUGGAGCAAACUUCAAAUGGUAACAUGAUUCCAUUCUCAUAUUAGGUAAGCAAAGGAGAAUCUUGUUCUUUUUCAAGAUCAAGACUUGUUUCUCAGAUUCCAGAGAAAUAGUGUUGUUCUUAUAUAUCGUUUAUGAUGACGGUGGAACAACACAUGAACUUGCUUUGAGUUUCUUUACAUGGGAUUUGGUAGUUUAAUUGGUGAAUAAUUUAUUGCUAAUAUGUUAGCUUGUUUGUUUUAAGGUCUUGUUAUGGUACACUAGUACUACUAUACAUUAUGGGGGAAGAACUAUAUAUAUUUGCUAAUGUUAUGGAGCUAGUGAUCUGGUCAUCUUGCUUCAGUCAUGGGAAAACAGGAACCAGAAGAACCUAAGCCAAAAUCUUGUCCAAUUUGAGAUACUUGGUUUGUGUUGGGAUAAAGUCUAAUUGCAGUUUUUGGUCUUGGUUCAUACAAGAUGAUGAUUAUCCUACUACGCGUUCGAUAUUGGUAACACAAUUUGAGGCGAUUGGAGGUCAAACUGCUUAUUCGAUUACCUAUAGAACGGAUGGAACAUAUUGUUCAAAGAGGUGGCUAAUACAGACAGAUACAGUUCCUUUGUUUACAACCCCUACACUUAUUUACCAAACUUGCAUUCGUAUUUUUCCUAAUUUUAUUUGUAUGUUUUCUAAUGUUUCAUUGUAAUCAUCUUUGUUGUAUUCUGUAGUACACCUUUGACAUUACUGUAACAAUAAAAUUCUUGUACUACAUAACACAAAGUACAUAUACAAAAGCAAAUGAUUCGGUUCUGGAUCGGUAACGAAUGGCUAAGCUUAGCACAACCAAUUGCCACGUAGGAUAAGUCUGACCAAUCAGAAACCAUCUUUCAAAUCUCCCUUUUGUUCAAUCUUAACCAGAAACCUCAAUUUUACUUAUAAUCUUUAGAAAAAAGGCAAAGCUGAAGAAACAGUUUGCAGACAACAUUGAAGAGGAGUAUUACGAGUGUCUUUGUCUCUUUCUCUGUCGCAUUGAUUUGAAAAGUUGUGUGGCAGAGAGAAACCCAUGGCUAUGGCGGAGAUGGCAAUGAAGUCUUCAGUAUCUGCAAAACUCACUCUUCCUUCUUCUUCUACGUUUUGUAAGAAGACAGUGAGACAGAUCUCUGUUUCACUUCCAACAUCAACUUCAAUCUCUCUGUUAUCUCUCUUUGCAUCUCCUCCUCAUGAAGCCAAAGCUGCUGUUUCCAUUUCCAAGGACCAAAUCGUCUCCUCUCUCACUGAAGUGGAGAAAACAAUCAACCAA